UAUGGUCAUAUCACAUUGAAACACUGAUUCGCUUAGGAUCACCAAAGUUAAGCAAUUUCAAACCUGGUCAGUACUUAGAUGGGUGACUGCUUGGGAAUGCCAAAUGCUGUAAG